CCUACGGGUGGCAGCAGUAGGGAAUUUUCGUCAAUGGGCGCAAGCCUGAACGAGCAAUGCCGCGUGAACGAGGAAGGUCUUCGGAUCGUAAAGUUCUGUUGAAGGGGAAAAAGAGCGGAGAGAGGAAAUGGUCUCCGAUUGAUAUUACCCUUCGAGGAAGUCACGGCUAACUACGUGCCAGCAGCCGCGGUAAUACGUAGGUGGCGAGCGUUAUCCGGAAUGAUUGGGCGAAAAGGGUGCGUAGGCGGCAUGCUAAGUCUGGAGUGAAAGGUACCGGCUCAACCGGUACAGGCUCUGGAAACGGGCGGGCUAGAGAGCAGGAGAGGGCGGUGGAACGCCAUGUGUAGCGGUAAAAUGCGUAGAUAUAUGGAAGAACACCAGUGGCGAAGGCGGCCGCCUGGCCUGUUACUGACGCUGAGGCACGAAAGCGUGGGGAGCAAAUAGGAUUAGAUACCCCAGUAGUC
rnacentral:rRNA from 1 species